rnacentral:misc_RNA from 1 species
GAUGAAGAACGCAGCGAAAUGCGAUACGUAAUGUGAAUUGCAAAUUCAGUGAAUCAUCGAGUCUUUGAACGCACAUUGCGCCCCCUGGUAUUCCGGGGGGCAUGCCUGUCCGAGCGUCAUUGCUGCCCUCAAGCACGGCUUGUGUGUUGGGCCCCGUCCUCCGAUCCCGGGGGACGGGCCCGAAAGGCGGCGGCGGCACCGCGUCCGGUCGAGCGUAUGGGGCUUUGUCACCCGCUCUGUAGGCCCGGCCGGCGCUUGCCGAUCAACCCAAAUUUUUAUCCAGGUUGACCUCGGAUCAGGUAGGGAUACCCGCUGAACUUAAGCAUAUCAAUAAGCGGAGGA